rnacentral:precursor_RNA from 1 species
UUGGCCGGCUGAUGGACAGAUAAGAUACUAAUAUAAGAGUACAGAGAGUACAAAUGCUUACAAAUAAAUUAUCAGCUGAGCCGGCUGAGAGAGAGUUCAUGUAUAUAUGUGUGUGGAUCAUAAAAAGCUAAGAGAAGAAGAGGGAGGGUACAGCCUUGGUGAAAAGGGUAGUAGGCGUCGCAAGUACUUCCACCAUCUAACAACUAAACCGCCCAAAGCUGUACUCUCUCUCUUCUUCAUUUAGCCUUCACGAUAUGAUCGUCUAUCGAUCUCCUUCUCUUAGUUGCUCUAGAAGUUGGAUCCCUAUGGGUUUAU